AUGGCUUCUCUCCCAACAAUGAAGAAUAUUUCCAAUGCUGAGAGUGCCUUCAAAGCAUCCAAGAAACACAAAAACAAGAAAAUGAAAAAGGAAAAAAAGGAUAAGAGCAAAAAGCGUGUGCCUGACUUUUUGUUGCACGAUGGCUGCCAUGAGGCAGUGUUUACACAAAUGCAAGACAUCAAGAAAAGAAAAAAGCCAAAGAAGAAAAGCAAACCGAAGGAAGACUUUCCGCAACCUAAAUUAAAUAAACAGCUCAAACAACCCGAAGAUAUGCACCAAAUUCAGCCUGUUAUCUACAUCUCCCCUGAUCAGGAGACACUACAUUCAACUGAGAAGGAGUGUUAUAGAAGCGUGAAAUGUAAAAAGAGAGUAAUUUUCAACUUGCUACCUGAGCAGAGCCAAGCUGCAAAGACAAAUGAUGAAGAAUUCAGAAAGACGAGCCACAGCAAACGUUUUGUUGGUGAAAGCAGCUUGGAAUCCAUCACAGCUGAAGAAAUGAACAGCCAAGACCUGUUUAUUACACAGAAAUCAUUCUUGGAUCCAUAUGUGGAGAUCUCCAGCACCUCAAGCUGCAGUGAGGCCACUACCGUGAAGGUGCCAGAGAAUCGCUCAUCUAGGUCGACAGCUGAAGCAACCACUCAAACCGAAAACUUCUUUACCUUACCAGCACUCACCACCUCUCUCAGGUUUCAGCAGCAGCAGAACACAUGCAAAAGCCCAGAGGAACCGGUAGACCUGAGCCUGCUGAACAGAACAAGACAAAUGCACGGCCCAAAACAAUCCGCUGUAGAUUCUGCGAAACCACCCAAGCUGAAGAUAUCAGACACGUCAAGUGAAGACGGCGAUAUGGUGCCAAAGGCCAAAGGUGAUCUGCCCCAGCUGAAGGUCAUCCAGACCCGCUUGAACGAGUCUUUCUUUUUUAAGGUGAAGGGCGAAGAUUCACCCAAGCCCAUAUGCCCUUUGAUGAAGCUCACGGAAAGUGUUGAGAAAAAGAUGAAGUAA
rnacentral:lncRNA from 1 species